CCUACGGGAGGCAGCAGUAGGGAAUCUUCGGCAAUGGACGGAAGUCUGACCGAGCAACGCCGCGUGAGUGAAGAAGGUUUUCGGAUCGUAAAGCUCUGUUGUAAGAGAAGAACGAGUGUGAGAGUGGAAGGUUCACACUGUGACGGUAUCUUACCAGAAAGGGACGGCUAACUACGUGCCAGCAGCCGCGGUAAUACGUAGGUCCCGAGCGCUGUCCGGAUUUAUUGGGCGUAAAGCGAGCGCAGGCGGUUAGAUAAGUCUGAAGUUAAAGGCUGUGGCUUAACCAUAGUACGCUUUGGAAACUGUUUAACUUGAGUGCAAGAGGGGAGAGUGGAAUUCCAUGUGUAGCGGUGAAAUGCGUAGAUAUAUGGAGGAACACCGGUGGCGAAAGCGGCUCUCUGGCUUGUAACUGACGCUGAGGCUCGAAAGCGUGGGGAGCAAACAGGAUUAGAUACCCUGGUAGUCCACGCCGUAAACGAUGAGUGCUAGGUGUUAGACCCUUUCCGGGGUUUAGUGCCGCAGCUAACGCAUUAAGCACUCCGCCUGGGGAGUACGACCGCAAGGUUGAAACUCAAAUGAAUUGACGGA
rnacentral:rRNA from 1 species